GAUGAACGCUGGCGGCGUGCCUAAUACAUGCAAGUCGAGCGAACGGACGAGAAGCUUGCUUCUCUGUUGUUAGCGGCGGACGGGUGAGUAACACGUGGAUAACCUACCUAUAAGACUGGGAUAACUUCGGGAAACCGGAGCUAAUACCGGAUGAUAUUUUGAACCGCAUGGUUCAAAAGUGAAAGACGGUCUUGCUGUCACUUAUAGAUGGAUCCGCGCUGCAUUAGCUAGUUGGUAAGGUAAUGGCUUACCAAGGCAACGAUGCAUAGCCGACCUGAGAGGGUGAUCGGCCACACUGGAACGGAGACACGGUCCAGACUCCUACGGGAGGCAGCAGUAGGGAAUCUUACGCAAUGGGCGAAAGCCUGACGGAGCAACGCCGCGUGAGUGAUGAAGGUCUUCGGAUCGUAAAACUCUGUUAUUAGGGAAGAACAUAUGUGUAAGUAACUGUGCACAUCUUGACGGUACCUAAUCAGAAAGCCACGGCUAACUACGUG
rnacentral:rRNA from 1 species